CUGGGAGGCAGAGGUUGCAGUGAGCCGAGACCUCGCCGUUGCACUCCAGCCUGGUUGACAGAGCAAGACUCUGUCUCAAAAAACAAAAAAACCCCAGCUUUUGUCCAGAGGUUGCUUUUUGUGGGUCUGUACGCUGAGGCCAAGUUCUAUGUAAGCAGAGCCCUCCCACCUCACCUCCAAACAAUGCCUCUAAACCAUCACAAUCUGAAAGGAAAAUAAAUCCCUUUCUUCAAUGGUGACCUGAAGCUAGCCAAGGACCGGGUGCUGGCAGGUGGCCUGCGAGACUGGGUCGGAUCCCGGGUUACUGUCUGAGGAGGGAUGCCGUGCUGUAAGGGUUGGGGAGCCAGUGUCUGGCUUCCUUGUCACCACAAGACCUGUGGUUUCCAGCUCUGUCUGCAUCCAGGUCCCACUAACCAACAGCAGGAGAGAAAACAGUUGUGCACACAGGCGGACGCGCACACGCGCACCUGGCCCCCCAGACGUGCACAGCCCUCAGAGGAAGUGGAGCACCAGAUGUUCUGGGUUUCCUGUUCGACGCUUCCACAGCUGGUCGAGUCUGUGGUUGUGGUUUGUCUGUCUCGGGCUCAUGUGAGAGACAAAAGCUGGGCUGACGGGAAACCUCUUCUCUCGGCCCCCACUCCCCAGCUCUGACUGAUUAGGAAACCUGGCAGGUCAGAAAUUUCCUGAAACACCCAGAGCUGGAUUCUCCCAAGAAGAAGCUGAACCCCCAACUCCCAUCCCUGAGGAGCAGCCCCUGGGCUGAUGAUCAGGACUUACAGAACCUGGGGCGAUGGAAACCUCUACAAAUAUCCCAUUUAGAAAGACCGCCAGCCCUGCCAACAGAAUGAAACGGAGGCCAGGUUGCUAUGGUCUCUACUCCAAUGCCUGACAUUGAGCCGCUGCUGCAAAACACUCAGCACAUGAAGGAAUGAAUGAGGAACAGAGAACUUCACCUUUGGGGGUUGGGUGUACAAGCCCCAACUGGGCCCCAAGUCCCAUAAAUAGCUUUGGAUUCCAACAUACAAGCAUUUGACGCAGCGAGGUGCUGCCGACUUGCUCUGUGACUUGGAGCAAGUCAUUUAGCCUCUCUGGGCCUGGUGUCCUCAUCUGCAGAAUGGAGAUGAUAAUAUCUACUUCACAAAGGUGUGAAGGCCCUGUGAGACACCGCAUGUGGAUUUCCUCGACAUUGUUUGCCCAUCGUAACUGCUCCAGAGAGGCUGGGCUCCCUUUUCUCGUUGCAACACUGCUGUUUAUUUCAGGAGAUACUCUAAAAGGGAAGCAAGCUAAAACAAAGAACAACCAAAAACACUGAUCCCGGGACAACUGCCCGGCAGGACAGCAGAGCAAGGGAGAAACAGCAAAAGAAAACACAG
rnacentral:lncRNA from 1 species